CUACUUACCUGGCAAGGGUGGUACUAUGAUCUUCCUGUCCCUGAAUGACUCAGUGUAGUUAGAAGGUGAGGGCCUGUCCAUUGCACUGCAGGCAGCCUGACCCCGGUGAAAGUCCACAAAUGCCUCCAAAUGAAAGGAUCUCAGCUACACAAUUUAUGGUGAGGGGGGGUUGCUUUCAGGCUUUCCCUUA
rnacentral:snRNA from 14 species